UAGUUUUUAAUAACUACCUAUUAAUUUAUUUAUAUGGGGGCACAAAAUCGGAAGCCCCGACUGUUUACUAAAAACACAACUAUCUGCAAUUAUGAAAAUAAUAGUAUAGGUAGUGAGAUUUGCCCAAUGCCAAAUUAAUAAGUAAUAAUAAUAGGUAACUGUUUCUUUACAAAAAAUUGGUUAAUAGCGGUCUUAACUAUGAGGAUCCUAAGGUAGCAAAAUAAAUUGGCCAUUAAAUGUGGUCCAGUAUCAAUAAUUUAACGAUGGCUUCACUGUCUCUACAACUUGCUCAGUGAAAUUGAAUUACCCGUGCAGAUGCGGGUUACCUCAAAGAGGACGGGAAGACCCUAUGCAGCUUCUACUGAC
rnacentral:rRNA from 1 species